GACCGUCGAGUGGAACGAUCCUAAAAUGCGCUGUAAAAAGAUGUAAAAAAACACGCUUAUAAAGAGAAAACAACAUGAAAUUGAGUAUUUUUGAUUUAAUAACAGAGUAAUAAAAGAAAAAAGAAGCAACAAUUAUUUCAAACCUAAUUGCUCCAGUGUGGUUUGUGCAGACCAUUUUACCGAAUCUGACAUGUAUUUAAUAUAUAAAACAAUUUGAUGGGG